UGCCUCUUAGCAGCCAGUGCUCUAUCGUUGAAGGAUGGGCCUCAGGCUGCCUUGACUGCACACAUGGAGAAUCAGGUGCUUUUUAACUAACAACUGAAGGAUGCAGGGCAAAUCCCUCAGCUUAAGGCUCUUCCCUGAGGAUGACCAUGGCACUUCCAGCUGCAGGUCUGGGGUGGCUGCUCAUCUCUUGAACCACUGUCCUCCCAGAUCCCUUGUGUACUGCACCCUACCACCCCAAUUUCUCCCUGGGAAGUACAUUGAUUUGUGCUAGCAACUGCUUACUGGAGGACCCAGCUGUUAGGGAGUGGACACUUUCUCUGGAUGUUGGGUGAAGCCUAUGUAGGAUUAAAGGAGAGGAAGCAGACAAGGAGAGCCUCAGGUCAUGAUGCAGAUAUAAGGUCUGAAGCCCCAGUGAUGUGCUCUAAAGACUGCUCAAAGCUAUGCUGCAUUGGGCAGAAAUGGCCAGGCACUACUACCCCUACUGUGCUCAGUCAUCAGCUGGAUUUGCUUGGGGAGACCACAGUGACAAUUGCUGCGAUGGAUCCCAAAGGCACUGCAGCUACCUGCCAUCCUACAGCUGAAUGCCAAGGCUUGCCUUGAAAAGCAAUUCAAGCAGCCCAUCUCCAGGGCUAUCACAUGGAGCUCUCU